rnacentral:rRNA from 1 species
AGCAGCCGCGGUAAUUCCAGCUCCAAUAGCGUAUAUUAAAGUUGUUGCAGUUAAAAAGCUCGUAGUUGAAUUUCGGGAUUCUACCGUCGGUCGGGCUAACAAGUCUGUACUGGUGUGUAGAAUUUCUACCUUCUGGGGAACUAUCAUGUUAUUAAUUUAGCGUGGUGGGAAACCAGGACCUUUACCUUGAAAAAAUUAGAGUGUUCAAAGCAGGCUUACGUCUGAAUACAUUAGCAUGGAAUAAUAGAAUAGGACGGUGGUCCUGUUUUGUUGGUUUCUGAAUCACCGUAAUGAUUAAUAGGGAUAGUUGGGGGCAUUAGUAUUCAAUUGUCAGAGGUGAAAUUNUUGGAUUUAUUGAAGACUAACUUCUGCGAAAGCAUUUGCCAAGGAUGUUUUCAUUAAUCAAGAACGAAAGUUAGGGGAUCGAAGACGAUCAGAUACCGUCGUAGUCUUAACCAUAAACUAUGCCGACUAGGGAUCGGACGAUGUUAAAUUUUAUUGAGUCG